CUUGUAAUCAAUUAAGAAAACAUUUUCUCUUCCUCUUCUAAAAACACGACUUUCAAUUGGUGCGGGAUAUAUCCAACCAACCCAUGUGCGAGAAUCAUCUAAAGUUUUCAUCUGUAAUCCGGUUGUCAAUUGAAGAAAUUGAAUUCAAUUCCUUCUCAUCUAUUUCUCAUUUUCGUCAUUUAUUCUCCCCCUCCUUCCCUCAAUUCUUUUAUCUUCAAUUUUGGUUCCAGAUUGAGUUAAUAUUUAGGCGAUUCAUCUGUAAGUGUAACUACGAUGGAAGAAGAGCUCUAUGUGAGGAUUGAACUGUGACAAAUUAGUAUUGGAGUGGGCACAUAUACUGGGUAAUUUAUAAUCAUGGAUACAAGAGCUAAAGUGAUAGAUAAACACUUGAAGAAGCUAGAUCUGGAGAUCGAUGAUUUAGGUGCCUCGUUCAAGAUAGUUACUAGUGGAUUGGAAAACAAAUUAGCCUCCACAGAUAAGAUACUACAAGUAAUUGGACACCGACAACAUGCUAUGGAAGGUACAAUGCUAGAUAUGAAUUAGAAAUAUGAGAAAUUAGUAGCUAUGAUAGCUUAAAUGUCCGUGGAUUUAAAGAUGGACGAAAAAACAAAGGAGUAGAAGAAUCUAUAGUUACUGUGAGACUUGGGGUAAUGAUUUCUCUUGAGGUUAGCAACAUUGAAGAAGCACUAGUACUAGCGAAGAACACAAGGGAAAAACAAGACUUCCUAAAAUUGAUUUUCCCAAUUUUUGGAGGAGAAGGGUCUAGGGAGUGGCUUAGGAAGGCUAGGAAGUAUUUCCACAUUCACCAUAUUCUUGAUGAACUUAGAUUGAGAAUUUUUGAGAUGUACUUGAAGGGUAAGGCUGAUAUCUGGUUUCAUGAAUUUAUUGCUAACAGUCCAGGGAUAUAUUGGAGGGUGUUUUCUAAUGAGUUAUGUAAAAGAUUUGCUAAAACCACUGGAGAGGUACUGGUUGAAACCUUUAGCAAGAUCAAGCAACUAGGAACCAUCUCUGAAUAUCAGGGGAGAUUUGAGGAACUGAAAGCCCAAGUGAUGAUGGCAUUACCUCAUGUCCCAGAAUCUUAUUAUGUUGCUAUUUUUAUCAAUGGGUUGAAUGGAGAGAUCAGGACCAUGGUGAAGAUGAUGAAACCCAACAACUUAUCCAAAGCCUUUGCAGUUGUUUUUCUUCAAGAGUCCACAUAUUAGCCAUCAAUAAAUUCCAAAAACCUAAAAACUUUACCCUAAACAAGUGGAGCCCCUAUUGCCACCUCAUGAAAUCAAACCCAAAUAACUUUAAAACCAUCACACUUUGUGAUUCCAAACCAAGAGGUUUAAAGGGACGAAGGUGUCCAUACUGAUUGACAGUAGUACUCACAGUUAUGUUGGAGAAAGGUUAGCCAAAGAACUAAAAUAUGUUAUUGAUGAGACUAGAAAAGUGAUAGUGAGGGUGGCUAAUGGGGAUAAAUUGGAGAGUAAAGCCUUAAGGCAGCCAUUAUUUUGGAAGAUACAAACCUAGGAAUUUCAAUUCAAACUUAGAAUUCUUAGGUUAGCUGAGAGUGAUCUGGUGUUAGGGGGAAAUUGGAUGAGUCAAUUUGGUCCAAUUACCUUUAAUUUUGUGCAAGGGUGUUUCCAGUUUAAAAGUAAUGGAGAAGUGAUGGGAUUGAAAAAUGAAACAUCAGACCAGUCACUCAGAUGAUGGAAACUCAGACCAUACGAGUGUCAUUUUAUCCAGAAGUCAGAGAUAAAAAAGCUAGAUAAGGAGAUAUUGGAUAGUGAGAUCAUCCAAUCCAACAACAGUCCCUUUAUCUCACCGAUCCUCCUAGUUAAGAAAAAAAAAAGAUAGUUUAUGGAGGUUUUAUGUAGACUACAUGCAAUUAAUUAGCUUGACAAUCAAAGACAAAUUUCCUAUGCCCCUUAUGGACGAGUUACUGGAUGAAUUGUAGGGAUCCAGAUACUUCUCCAAGAUAGAUCUUAGAGAGGGUAUCAUCAAAUUAGAAUGAUUGAGGAGGACAUUCACAAGACAACAUUCAAGACUCAUCAAAGACUUUAUGAGUGUAAGUUAAUGACUUUUGGCCUUAUCAAUGCACCAAAAUCUUCUAGAGCCUCGUAAAUGUGGUCUUCAAGGAUCAACCAAGGAAAUUUGAGGAAGUGUUCUUUGAUGACUUCCUCAUCUACAACAAGGAUGAAAGCACCCACUGCCACCAUCUUAAAAAAAUUCUGAAAUCUUACACAAGCAUCAACUAUAUGCAAAAGAAUUUAAAUGUAGUUUUAGACAUAUGCAAGUUGAAUAUAUGGGGCACAUAAUCAGUGAAAAUGGGAUAAUGAGAUAAUUUCAAUUAGAUAGAAGCAACUGAAAUAGCAUUUGAACUGCUGAAACAAGCAAUGAGUACAACACAUAUACUUGCCCUACCUGAAUUCAAUUUACCUUUUGUCAUUGAAACUAAUGCUUGCAAAAAAAGGGAAUUGGAGCUGUGUUGAUACAGGUAAGAGGCCUCUAGCCUAUUUGAGCAAAUCUAUUAAAGUGAGGAUGGAAAUAUCCAUAUAUGAAAAGGAAUUAUUAGCCUUAGUGAGAGCGGUGGGCAAGCGGAGACAUUAUUUGAAGGGUCAUCAAUUUUAUCAUUAAGACUGAUCAUCCGUCUUUAAAGUACCUACUGGAACAAAGAAUUACUACUCCUCUAUCACAAAGAUGGCUAACCAAGUUACUAAGCCUCAGCUAUAAAAUAGUUUGUAAGAGGUGGUUGACAAUCUUGUGACAGAUGCAUUGUCUAGGAAGUAAGAAGGGACAUCAAAAUGCUAUAGAAUUUCAGUCAUCAUACAUGCGUAGCUUCAAGAAGUCACAGAAAGCUACAAGUAAGACUGUAUGGUUAAGGAGAAAAUUUAGUCCCUGCUGCUACAACCUGAUGCAGAUCGUUCAUUCACUUAUGUCAAUGGUCUGCUGAAGCACAAUGAUAGAAUUUAUAUUGGAAUGGGGGAAGACAUCAGGGCAAUGCUGAUUCAAAACAUGCAUGGUUCUCAAACGGGAGGCCGCUCAGGUAUUCACAACAGCAUUUAUGGGACCAAUGAACAUUUUUACUUAUCAAAGAUGAAUCAAAAUAUCAAGAUGGAUGUGCUACAAUGUGAAUUGUGCCAACGGUGUAAAGGGGAGCAUGUACCUUACCCUGGUUUGCUGCAACAUUAACCUGAAACACUGUACUCAUGGAGCCAUAUAAGUAUGGAUUUUAAUAAAGGGCUACCCAAUUCAGUUAGGAAGAACACUAUUUUGGUGAUAGUUAUGGGCACUUUAUUGCUCUAUUGCAUCCCUUUUUAGCAGUGAUAGUAGCAAAGCUUUUCUUGGACAAUGUCUUUAGAUUACACAUAAUGCCUCAAUGUACUAUCUCUAACAGGGAUAAGACAUUUGCCAGCAAGUUUUGCAGGAACUAUUCACCUUACUAGGCUCCAAACUCCUCCUUUGCUCUGCUUAUCACCCACAAAUAGAUGGAUAGAUGGAGAGACUUAAUCAGUGCCUGGAAAUGUACUUAAGAUAUAUGUUUUAAGAGUAGCCAAAACAUUGAAAAAGAUGGUUAACUCUGGCAGAAUGGUAGUAUGACACUUUCUUCCAUUCUGCAAUAAGGAUGACCCCAUUUGAAGCACUCUAUGGAAUUAAGCCUCCUCAGUAGGCUUUGGGACUAUACCAACAAUCCAAUGUAGCAAUUAUAGAGGAGUUAUUACAAGAGAGGUAUAAGUUGGAUCAGCAACUGAAGGGAAAACCUAUCACAAGCCAAGGCAAAAAUGAAGCAAUAUAUAGAAAAAUAGAACUGGGACAACUUUUAAUGAGGGUGACUAGGUCUUUCUGGAACUUUACUCCUACGUACAACAAUCAGCAGCAUUCGGAUCAAAUCACUAGCUAUGUACCAAGUACUUUGGUCCUUCUCAAGUGGUUAAGAAGAUAGGUGAAGUGGCCUACCAUUUAGCAUUACCAGAAGGGGCAAGAAUAUAUCUUGUGUUCCAUGUUUCGUUGUUGAAGAAGAAAUAUGGGGCAAAGAUAUGCCAGUGUCAUAGGUACUCAAAUACAGUAGUGCUCCAUAGUCAAAACACUACCCUUACAGCCCAGGUUGUUCCAACUCCAAAACAGGAUUGUAGUUCAAUGGUUGAUCCAACGGUUUGUCCUCUACCAUGACAAUGCGACUUCGAAAGAUGCAGACUAGGUUAAGGCCACCUUUCCUAAUUGUAGAUCUUGUAGACAGUUCAAGGUGAGAGAAAUGGUUGUUAAGUGUAGAGUAAAUGGGGAAAGAAGGAGAUCAGAUCAAGAAGAGAAAAGGGAAAUAAGAAACCAAAAAAAUGAGAAAGAAGGCAAGCAACAGAAUUAUUAGAUUUUUUGAAAUUAAUGUAUACAAUGUCAUUUUCACUAAGUGAAAUUGUAAUCAAUUAAGAAAACGUUUUCUCUUUUUUUUUUUUUUUUUUUUUUUUUUUUUUUUUUGGUGGGGGGUGGGAAACGCAACUUUCAAUUUGUCGUUUAUAUAUCCAUCCAAACCCAUGUACGAGAAUCAUUUGAAGUUUUCAUCUGUAAUCCAAUUAUUAAUUGAAGAAAUUUAAUUCAAU
rnacentral:lncRNA from 1 species